GGCGCAAACUUGAAGUAGAGUAGAUUAGUAUGGUCAGCUGAUUCUUCCAAUCUGCUCAACUUCAAAUUUGGGCCC
rfam:Haemonchus contortus, ISE/inbred ISE, WGS project CAVP01000000 data, contig: Hcontortus_2666